UACAGAGGUCCCGAGCGUUGUCCGGAUUUAUUGGGCGUAAAGAGCGUGUAGGCGGCCACACAGGUCAGCUGUGAAAACUCGAGGCUCAACCUCGAGACGUCGGUUGAAACCGUAUGGCUAGAGUCCGGAAGAGGAGAGUGGAAUUCCCGGUGUAGCGGUGAAAUGCGCAGAUAUCGGGAAGAACACCCGUGGCGAAGGCGGCUCUCUGGGACGGUACUGACGCUGAGACGCGAAAGCGUGGGGAGCGAACAGG
rnacentral:rRNA from 1 species